UUUUUUAAGUAACAGCAAAGUUUGGUUAAUUCUUUCCCCCUCUAUAUAUUUGUACCUCCACUCGUCUUACAUCUCCACAAAUCCUUGACAAAGAAUAAUUCUUCGGUUUCAUUUUCCUCCCCAUCCAAAUAAAAUUACAUACACAUGUUUAUUAUGUUCCCUUUACAACCGACGCAUAAGCCAUCCAACAUUCAUAUUUAGAAGUCUUGUAUACAUAUAUACUACGUAUGGAAUAAUAGUCGUGCCUGGCUCCCUGUAUACCACAAGAAAACACCGAUCUCAUUAUGAAAUCGAUCGCUAGUGGUGUAUAGAGUAGUCAAGCAUGACCAAAGCUUUUCUUGAUAUAUAAGUACUUUGUCUUUGUAACGCAUAAUGUCUAUAAAAUUUCUGGUAUAUGUAUGCAUGAAUUAUGUUUAGAAAUUUCUGUUUUUUUCAUAUGCAUCUUCAUUAUUUUCUUAGCGUCCUUUAUUUAUUAAUGUCUUAUUUGGUAUUAAGCAGGUAUUAAUGAUAUUACAUUUCUAAGUGUAAUGAAUGUAAUGAAAUCAUAAUUCAACUAUUAUAUCCAUAUAUUGUUUUUCUAUCUUUAUGUUGAAAAAUAUAGGUGUCUCUAUCUAUCAGUGAUUCCUGAUCAUGUAUGUUUAAUCACUAAACUUCUUAGAAGUUGUAAUUUAUCAUACUUAUGCUGUCUCGCUAACUGUUCAAUUUCUCUAUUCACUUUAACAAAAUCUUGCAAUGAUAGCUUUGCAAGGUGGGUACAUGGAUAAGCUUUGCCAGCUAUCCAAGAGGGUUUAAGCUUUAGAUUGAGAUUUAUGGGAGGUAAAAUGAAUUAGUGGUAACUUGACGUACUAACCAGAUUGAAAAACAUCAGUCACCUGAGUUACCUCAAAUGCUUCUCCAAUUGUUGAUGUUCCUUACCACAUCUUCUUCCUCGCUACAUUCAUCGAUUUGUUUCCUGCUGUGUAUGUCACUGUCCGAGGCUGGGAUUGCUCUUGGAGAGUUACAAUCCUUGGUAGAUCUUUAUGAUUUCAUCUCAAUGGCGACUAUAUUUCUCAUCGAUGUACUCUAUGUGACUCCAACCCUAAUUAGCAAGAAAAAGGCGUAGAAGAAGAAGAUCAAUGGAAACAUAAGACAACGCCCUUUCUCAUACAUAUGAUGAUAAUGAUGAUGAUGAAAAAAGCCUGUGUAUAUAUCAUUUAGAAUGCUACGACCAAUUUCAAAACCGAACAUGUUCUCGACAUGUUUGUAACUCAAAAAUAUACUUGAAAAUACUACCAGUUGAGAAAAAAAAAAUACUACCAGUUUUGGACUUCCAUUGUCUUGACAGUUCAAAGGUUCGAUUA